AUUGAACGCUGGCGGCAUGCCUUACACAUGCAAGUCGAACGGCAGCACGGGAGCAAUCCUGGUGGCGAGUGGCGAACGGGUGAGUAAAGUAUCGGAACGUGCCCAGUCGUGGGGGAUAACGUAGCGAAAGUUACGCUAAUACCGCAUACGAUCUAUGGAUGAAAGCGGGGGAUCGCAAGACCUCGCGCGAUUGGAGCGGCCGAUAUCAGAUUAGGUAGUUGGUGGGGUAAAGGCCCACCAAGCCGACGAUCUGUAGCCGGUCUGAGAGGACGACCAGCCACACUGGGACUGAGACACGGCCCAGACUCCUACGGGAGGCAGCAGUGGGGAAUUUUGGACAAUGGGCGAAAGCCUGAUCCAGCCACGCCGCGUGCAGGAUGAAGGCCUUCGGGUUGUAAACUGCUUUUGUACGGAACGAAAAGGACUGCCCUAAUACGGUGGUCCCAUGACGGUACCGUAAGAAUAAGCACCGGCUAACUACGUGCCAGCAGCCGCGGUAACAC
rnacentral:rRNA from 1 species